rnacentral:rRNA from 1 species
AACGAACGCUGGCGGCAUGCCUAACACAUGCAAGUCGAACGAGACCUUCGGGUCUAGUGGCGCACGGGUGCGUAACGCGUGGGAACCUGCCCUUAGGUUCGGAAUAACUCCCCGAAAGGGGUGCUAAUACCGGAUAAUGUCUUCGGACCAAAGAUUUAUCGCCUUUGGAUGGGCCCGCGUUGGAUUAGCUAGUUGGUAGGGUAAAAGCCUACCAAGGCGACGAUCCAUAGCUGGUCUGAGAGGAUGAUCAGCCACACUGGGACUGAGACACGGCCCAGACUCCUGCGGGAGGCAGCAGUGGGGAAUAUUGGACAAUGGGCGAAAGCCUGAUCCAGCAGUGCCGCGUGAGUGAUGAAGGCCUUAGGGUUGUAAAGCUCUUUUACCCGGGAUGAUAAUGACAGUACCGGGAGAAUAAGCUCCGGCUAACUCCGU